rnacentral:rRNA from 1 species
UACGUAGGAUGCAAGCGUUGUCCGGAAUUAUUGGGCGUAAAGAGCUCGUAGGCGGUCUGUCGCGUCUGCUGUGAAAACUCGGGGCUUAACCCCGGGCCUGCAGUGGGUACGGGCAGACUAGAGUGCGGUAGGGGAGACUGGAAUUCCUGGUGUAGCGGUGAAAUGCGCAGAUAUCAGGAGGAACACCGGUGGCGAAGGCGGGUCUCUGGGCCGUAACUGACGCUGAGGAGCGAAAGCAUGGGGAGCGAACAGG